rnacentral:tmRNA from 1 species
GGGGAUGUAAAGGUUUCGACAGGGUAUAUGCGUUGGUGUAAGCGAGCCGCGUUUCCUGAUCUGGGGUACGCGUAAAAGAACCGGAUCAUUAAACAUAAACGCAAAAAAUCAAAAAUUUGCAUUCGCUGCUGAGUAGCGAGCCUCUCCUAGGCCUUAUCUCG